GUGGGGGAUAUUGGUCAAUGGGGGAAACCCUGAACCAGCAACGCCGCGUGAGGGAAGACGGCCUUCGGGUUGUAAACCUAAGUGAUCAGGGACGAAGGAAGUGACGGUACCUGAAAAGCAAGCUCCGGCUAACUACGUGCCAGCAGCCGCGGUAAUACGUAGGGAGCGAGCGUUGUCCGGAUUUACUGGGUGUAAAGGGUGCGUAGGCGGGAAAGCAAGUCAGGUGUGAAAUACCGGGGCUCAACUCCGGGGCUGCGCUUGAAACUGUUUUUCUUGAGUGAAGUAGAGGCAGGCGGAAUUCCUAGUGUAGCGGUGGAAUGCGUAGAUAUUAGGAGGAACACCAGUGGCGAAGGCGGCCUGCUGGGCUUUAACUGACGCUGAGGCACGAAAGCAUGGGGAGCAAACAGGAUUAGAAACCCUAGUAGUCC
rnacentral:rRNA from 1 species